ACCCUGUGGAAAGCAAGACAGCUUGGUGUCCGUCUCUUUAGGUCUAGGGAUGACAUCAGUUUCAUACUUCCUUUUUCAGUUCUCUGUCAACUGAGCUCGGACCAGGCCAAGUAAGGGUUAAAGUGGAGUGUGUGGACUGGACACGUAAAGUAAGUGACGGUAAAGGUGGUUCAACGGAUCCCACCAAUAAGGCCGCCUACUACGUCUACUACGCAUUAGAGGACGGGGGAGACCCUGACUUGAAGAGUUCUCCAAUAUUGCCCCCCUCUGGAGGGUAGACGACUACUCCCAAGAAAUCAUGGAAAAUGGAUGCGAGCGUCUGCUCACUGCCGACGUGAAGUUUCUGUCCAGUCGGUUGGGUGGAGUGAGAACACCAGAGAGAGGAGCAAGUCGACUCCAUCUUGGAUGAGCCGCCUCGUGCCCCUCCCAUAAACUGAUCGCGGAGUCUCAGCGACGUAACCCAGUAGGGAUUUAGUCCGCGCUCACAUAGUGUCUGUUGUGCAUCUGGCGGCUCUCUGGAGCAGCACGCCUUGAAGCGGUGAGAGAAACCCGGGGCUCUGUUAUCUCGGCACGACUUCCAGACCUCCAGCUUCUCAGUAAAGGGACAUCAGAGCUCAUAUGGCAACUUAGUGACCGAGGCACCUGUCACCAGUGACUGUCCUUACGGCCUCGAUGCGGACUGGCUCAAGAGCAGGACGUUGUCGGGAGGACUCUAAUCCUAAAAGGAGAGCCCUCCUGACGCCCCCAGAGUCUGCACUGGGCCCCCCAGGUGCUCCCGCGGCAGCCCGCCUGCCUCCACUGUGGGCUCCCACGGGGUCUGUGCUGUCUCGCAGGAGGAGCUACGUCUUUUGUCUUGCCGUUCCGAUGUCUCGUGCCCAGUAAAUAUGCAAUAGAUGCUUGUUGAAUGAAUGAGUAAGAUGUGAGAUGCCCAAGCUGCAGGCAGACCUGAACACAUGCUUCACGAAGCUUCACUUUGUUCGCUCAUAGAAGACAGUUUCGAUUGAAAAUCUUGGAAAGAAACAGCUUGACCAGGAGAAGAUUUGCAAAUAGUCUUUUAUUUCACUUCCGCCAUAUGGUCUGUGCCCAUAUGCUAAUCUUCAGGUCCUGCUCUCAGUGACCCUACCCCCUCGUCCUGGGACUCUCUUGUUGACACAAACCAGUCACACACCUAAGACGCUCGCAGUUUAUUCACUUCCACGCAACUUUACUGAAUACGUACUCCUCACAUUCACUGUUGUUGAGAUUAGGUCACGCGGUCAGGGUAUCUGUAUCCAAUGUUUUUUUCUUAUUCUUUCAUUUCUUCAACAAAUACAAAGCUUUCAU